rnacentral:rRNA from 1 species
GACGAACGCUGGCGGCGUGCUUAACACAUGCAAGUCGAACGGAAAGGCCCUGCUUUUGUGGGGUGCUCGAGUGGCGAACGGGUGAGUAACACGUGAGUAACCUGCCCUUGACUUUGGGAUAACUUCAGGAAACUGGGGCUAAUACCGGAUAGGAGCUCCUGCUGCAUGGUGGGGGUUGGAAAGUUUCGGCGGUUGGGGAUGGACUCGCGGCUUAUCAGCUUGUUGGUGGGGUAGUGGCUUACCAAGGCUUUGACGGGUAGCCGGCCUGAGAGGGUGACCGGCCACAUUGGGACUGAGGUACGGCCCAGACUCCUACGGGAGGCAGCAGUGGGGAAUAUUGCACAAGGGGCGGAAGCCUGAUGCAGCAGCGCCGCGUGCGGGAUGACGGCCUUCGGGGUGUAAACCGCUGUCGCCUGUGACGAAGCGUGAGUGACGGUAAUGGGUAAAGAAGCACCGGCUAACUACGUG